rnacentral:rRNA from 1 species
UCGGGAAUUUUGCUCAAUGGGCGCAAGCCUGAAGCAGCAACGCCGCGUGAGGGAUGAAGGCCUUCGGGUUGUAAACCUCUUUUCUCAGGGACGAUGAUGACGGUACCUGAGGAAUAAGUCACGGCUAACUACGUGCCAGCAGCCGCGGUAAUACGUAGGUGACCAGCGUUGUCCGGCUUUACUGGGCGUAAAGAGCGCGCAGGCGGUCGUUCAAGUCGAGUGUGAAAGCCCCCGGCUCAACUGGGGAGGGUCACUCGAUACUGAUCGACUUGAAGGCAGGAGAGNGAAGCGGAAUUCCCGGUGUAGUGGUGAAAUGCGUAGAUAUCGGGAGGAACACCAGUGGCGAAGGCGGCUUCCUGGCCUGUUCUUGACGCUGAGGCGCGAAAGCUAGGGGAGCAAACG